GACGAACGCUGGCGGCGUGCUUAACACAUGCAAGUCGAACGGAAAGGCCCUGCUUUUGUGGGGUGCUCGAGUGGCGAACGGGUGAGUAACACGUGAGUAACCUGCCCUUGACUUUGGGAUAACUUCAGGAAACUGGGCUAAUACCGGAUAGGAGCUCCUGCUGCAUGGUGGGGGUUGGAAGGUUUCGGCGGUUGGGGAUGGACUCGCGGCUUAUCAGCUUGUUGGUGGGGUAGUGGCUUAUCAAGGCUUUGACGGGUAGCCGGCCUGAGAGGGUGACCGGCCACAUUGGGACUGAGAUACGGCCCAGACUCCUACGGGAGGCAGCAGUGGGGAAUAUUGCACAAUGGGCGGAAGCCUGAUGCAGCAACGCCGCGUGCGGGAUGACGGCCUUCGGGUUGUAAACCGCUUUCGCCUGUGACGAAGCGUGAGUGACGGUAAUGGGUAAAGAAGCACCGGCUAACUACGUG
rnacentral:rRNA from 1 species